GGUUAAGGUACAGAGGGCACGCGGGGAAUGCCUUGGCGCCAGACGCCGAAGAAGGACGUAGCAAGCUGCGAUAAGCCUCGGGGAGGAGCAAGCAUCCAUUGAUCCGAGGAUUUCCGAAUGGGGCAACCUGACGGGAGCAGUCCCGUCGCCCUCGAAUGAGGGCGGGCACCCGGUGAAGUGAAACAUCUCAGUAGCCGGAGGAGAGGAAAUCGAAGAGAGUCCCCAAGUAGUGGUGAGCGAAAGGGGAUGAGCCUAAACCAUGCACGUGUCAAGCUUGCGGGCGUUGCGUGCGUGGGGUUGCGGGAUCUUCCAGGAGCCUUCCGCAAAGGGCUCGGGCAGUUACAAAGGCGCACUCUAGCGGAACCGUGUUGGGAAAGCGGGCCGCAGAAGGUGAAAGCCCUGUACGCGACAGGGUGCGUCCUGCCUGUGGAAGACACCCAAGUAGGGCGGAGCACGUGGAAUUCCGUCUGAAUCCGGGCCGACCACGGUCCAAGGCUAACUACGUCUGGCGACCGAUAGUGAAGCAGUACCGAGAGGGAAAGGUGAAAAGCACCCCUGGCGGGGAGUGAAAUAGACCUGAAACCGCGUGCCUACAAGCAAUCGGAGCCCCUUCGUGGGGUGACGGUGUGCCUCUUGGAAAAUGAGCCGUCGAGUUAUGGUUUGUGGCGAGGUUAAGGACUGCAAGGUCCGGAGCCGCAGGGAAACCGAGUCUGAAUAGGGCGUCCAGUCGCAAGCCAUAGACCCGAAGCCGCACGAUCUAUCCAUGUCCAGGUUGAAGUCCGGGUAACACCGGAUGGAGGACCGAACCAGGGCCUGUUGAAAAAGGCUUGGAUGAGGUGUGGAUAGGAGUGAAAAGCUAAUCGAGUGCGGUGAUAGCUGGUUCUCCCCGAAAUGCAUUGAGGUGCAGCCUCGUGCGACGAACGUACCGGGGGUAGAGCACUGAAUGGGUGAGGGGGCCGAUGGGUCUACCGAGCUCAAUCAAACUCCGAAUACCGGUACGGGAUGCACGGGAGUGAGACUACGGGUGAGAAGAUCCGUGGUCGAAAGGGAAACAACCCAGCCCGACAGCUAAGGUCCCAAAGCCCAUGCUCAGUGUUGCAAGGAUGUGGAGGAGCCCAGACAGCCAGGAGGUUGGCUUAGAAGCAGCCACCCUUGAAAGAGUGCGUAAUAGCUCACUGGUCGAGCGCCUCUGCGCCGAAAAUGUGGGGGGCUAAGCAUGGCACCGAAGCUUCGGCAUCAGACCUUAGGGGUCUGAUGGGUAGGGGAGCGUUCCGUACGGGGUGAAGCAGGCCUGUAAGGGACUGUGGACUGUACGGAAGUGAGAAUGACGGCAUGAGUAGCGAGAAGCAGGUGAAAAACCUGCUCGCCGGAAGCCCAAGGAUUCCUGGGGAAGGUUCAUCCGCCCAGGGUUAGGCGGGACCUAAGGGGAGGCCGAAAGGCGUACUCGAUGGACAGCCGGUAGACAUUCCGGCCCCGCUUGAGCAACGCUUGUACCGAUGGGGUGACGCAGGAGGCUAGGUGCGCCGGGUGCUGGACGUCCCGGUCCAAGGCCGUAGGGGGGUACUUCAGGGAAAUCCGAGGUACCGGUACCCUGAGAGCUGAUGGGGACUACGAAUGAUCGUGGGAAGGCAUUGAAGCCAGGCUGCCAAGAAAAGCCUCUAGGGAGGAGCUCGAGCGCCCGUACUCCAAACCGACGCAGGUGGGCUGGCUUAGCAGGCCAAGGCGGACGGGAUAACCCUCGUUAAGGAACUCUGCAAGUUGACCCCGUAACUUCGGGAGAAGGGGUGCCUCCGCGGUGAAGCGUCACGCAUGUGGAGCCGCUGGAGGCCGCAGAAACCAGGCUCAGGCGACUGUUUAAUUAAAACACAGGACUCUGCUCAAGGCGCAAGCCGAGGUAUAGGGUCUGACACCUGCCCGGUGCUGGAAGGUUAAGGGGAGAGGUUAGCCGCAAGGCGAAGCUUUGAACUGAAGCCCCAGUAAACGGCGGCCGUAACUAUAACGGUCCUAAGGUAGCGAAAUUCCUUGUCGGGUAAGUUCCGACCUGCACGAAUGGUGUAACGAUCUGAGCGCUGUCUCGACGAGGGACCCGGCGAAAUUGUGGUACUGGUAAAGACGCCAGUUACCCGUGGUGGGACGGAAAGACCCCGUGGAGCUUUACUGUAGCCUGAUAUUGGAUUUCGGUACUCUCUGUACAGGAUAGGUGGGAGACGUAGAAGCCAUGGCGCCAGCUGUGGUGGAGUCGCCGUUGGGAUACCACCCUUGGAGUGCUGGGGUUCUAACCGCUCAUAGCUGAAGCGCUAGGCGGGACACUGUCAGGUGGGCAGUUUGACUGGGGCGGUCGCCUCCCAAAGAGUAACGGAGGCGCGCGAAGGUCACCUCAGCGCGAAUGGAAAUCGCGCACUGAGCGCAAGGGUAUAAGGUGGCUUGACUGCGAGAGCGACAGUUCGAGCAGAGACGAAAGUCGGUCCUAGUGAUCCGGUGGUUCCGAGUGGAAGGGCCAUCGCUCAUCGGAUAAAAGCUACCCCGGGGAUAACAGGCUGAUCUCCCCCGAGAGUUCCCAUCGACGGGGAGGUUUGGCACCUCGAUGUCGGCUCGUCGCAUCCUGGGGCUGAAGCAGGUCCCAAGGGUUGGUCUGUUCGCCCAUUAAAGCGGUACGUGAGCUGGGUUUAGAACGUCGUGAGACAGUUCGGUCCCUAUCCACCACGGGCGUAGGGGAUUUGAGGGGAUCUGCUCCUAGUACGAGAGGACCGGAGUGGACGAACCGCUAGUGUACCGGUUGUGGCGCCAGCUGCAUAAGCCGGGUAGCCAUGUUCGGAUCGGAUAACCGCUGAAGGCAUCUAAGCGGGAAGCCGGCCCCGAGAUGAGAUCCCCCACUGGGAAGCCAGGUAAGGCAUCCUGAAGACGACAGGAUUGAUAGGCCGGGGGUGUAAGCGGUGUGAGCCGUUGAGCUGACCGGUACUAAUAUGCCGAGGCCUUAACCUC
rfam:Aminomonas paucivorans DSM 12260 chromosome, whole genome shotgun sequence.